GUGCCAGCAGCCGCGGUAAUACGAAGGGGGCUAGCGUUGCUCGGAUUUACUGGGCGUAAAGGGCGCGUAGGCGGACAGUUUAGUCAGAGGUGAAAGCCCGGGGCUCAACCUCGGAAUUGCCUUUGAUACUGGCUGUCUUGAGUAUGGAAGAGGUAUGUGGAACUCCGAGUGUAGAGGUGAAAUUCGUAGAUAUUCGGAAGAACACCAGUGGCGAAGGCGACAUACUGGUCCAUUACUGACGCUGAGGCGCGAAAGCGUGGGGAGCAAACAGGAUUAGAAACCCUCGUAGUCC
rnacentral:rRNA from 1 species